CAACUCGCCUGCAUGAAGCCGGAAUCGCUAGUAAUCGCGGAUCAGCAUGCCGCGGUGAAUACGUUCCCGGGUCUUGUACACACCGCCCGUCACACCACGAGAGUUGGUAACACCCGAAGUCGGUGAGGUAACCUUUUGGAGCCAGCCGCCGAAGGUGGGACCAAUGAUUGGGGUGAAGUCGUAACAAGGUAGCCGUAUCGGAAGGUGCGGCUGGAUCACCUCCUUUCUAAGGAA
rnacentral:rRNA from 1 species